CUACGGGCGGCACCAGUGAGGAAUAUUGCACAAUGGGGGGAACCCUGAUGCAGCAACGCCGCGUGGAGGAUGACGCAUUUCGGUGUGUAAACUCCUUUUAUAUGUCAAGAAAAUGACGGUAGCAUAUGAAUAAGCACCGGCUAACUCCGUGCCAGCAGCCGCGGCAAUACGGAGGGUGCAAGCGUUACUCGGAAUCACUGGGCGUAAAGGACGCGUAGGCGGGUUGGAAAGUCAGGUGUGAAAUCCUACAGCUUAACUGUAGAACUGCACUUGAAACUUCUAAUCUAGAGUAUGGGAGGGGGAGAUGGAAUUAGUGGUGUAGGGGUAAAAUCCGUAGAUAUCACUAGGAAUACCUAAAGCGAAGGCGAUCUCCUGGAACAUUACUGACGCUAAGGCGUGAAAGCGUGGGGAGCAAACAGGAUUAGAUACCCUUGUAGUC
rnacentral:rRNA from 1 species